rnacentral:rRNA from 1 species
UACGGGGGGAGCAAGCGUUGUUCGGAUUUACUGGGCGUAAAGGGCGCGUAGGCGGCCUGUGCAAGUCAGUUGUGAAAUCUCCGAGCUUAACUCGGAAAGGUCAACUGAUACUGUGCGGCUAGAGUGCAGAAGGGGCAACUGGAAUUCUCGGUGUAGCGGUGAAAUGCGUAGAUAUCGAGAGGAACACCUGCGGCGAAGGCGGGUUGCUGGGCUGACACUGACGCUGAUGCGCGAAAGCCAGGGGAGCGAACGGG